UUUUCUUUAGUCUCCUGAUAUUUCAUUUAUUUUUAAUCUUUUGAACUUAUAUUUUCACUUAAAUUUAUUUUGUAUAAUGUUAUUUUACUUAUCUGUGUGGUUAAUCGUGUCAUCUUAUACUUUUGAGUAAUAAUCUUAUCUUUAAGUGUGUGGAAGUAAGAGCACAUGGUGAUAAAUGUACAACGUGUGUAUUUUAGAAUGAAAAGGGCAUUUCCAUCUAAAGAGGCUGCUUAUUUGUUUCAUGUGUCAGAAAUAAAAAUGCUCCUGGAGAAGAAUCAAAGCCUGCUGUCCUGUAUCUGAUUCAGUAAAGUCACAACGCAGAGUCCAGUUAUUCCACCGGUGUCGCCGGCUGCAUGUAAAGUUUGGCGUCGCGAGUCACCGGUUACACCUCUGCAGGUAACAGUCACACACACAUUCAUAGAGGAAGCAGAUUCUUCUGACUAAUAGCUCACCAGCCUUCCUCCUUAUAUUUGCCUGUAUUACCAUUUCCUUUUUCCACUAUUUUUUACUCAUGUGAGCCCGGUCCUGCACAAGCCGUCACACCAAAGCCAGGAUAAGCCAGAGCUCGCUUUCCAGCAGUCUGACUUUGACCUUGAGCCAGUCUUAACCACAGUCGAGAAUUCCAGUGUGUCUCCUGUGAUUGUGGAGCAUCUGGCUUCAGCAGAAACACCAGCAGAUGAGAUCGAAGCGCAGGAAGCCGAGCCGCCGAAGAACGAACCCGAGCCCAGCUCUGAGGAUGAAAGCAACGAUGGGGUCCUUUCACCUGUCGAAGAGCCCAACAACAAUACCAUGCACACUGAGACCUACUUCUUCUGACUCGCACACUUCAUCAUUUUUUUCACUACUUUUCAUGUCUGCUUUUGCUCGUUCCUUCCUCAGAGUCAGAGAUGGAGAAUAAGAUUAUACAAUAUAGUAGAGACUUUCUUUUGAGCAUCCAGUUCAUGCCUGAUUGUAUGCAGAAGCCAGAGGGGCUUCCAUCAGUACCUGAUGUGGUGCUACACAAGCAACCGAAUGCAAUUUGGAGGCGCCGUCACCCUGCAAGUUCCUCUUGAAUGUGCCUAUGAAUGAAGAGGUGGAGUUGAAGAAGGCUGAGGAUGCCUGGAAGCCUUCCAUGAAAAGGAGGAAUUCCACAGAG